rnacentral:misc_RNA from 1 species
GUACAUGCUUCUUUCUUCCUUUUUCUUUUUGUUUCCCUUUAUUUUCUACAUUUGUUAAGCUGUUAAAUUGACGUUCUCCUAUGCUUGGUGAUCUUUUCCCGUGCUUCUUGUUCCCACGACUUUAUUUCAUAGUGGUGUCUUUCUUAAUAGAACUUGUAAUAUUCCAGUCAUGCAUACCUGCUAAUCUUUGUACAUCAUUUUAUAUCAGCCCUUUUGUAGA